CGGCGCGCCACCGCCCGUCCACCCGGCCGGCUCAGCCCUUCUGCCUCCGCCGGCGGCAGCAGCCACCGCAGCCGCUUGCCUCAAGCUCAAGUGGUGAGAGUGAAAACCACAAGAGGAGAUGGGAACUAGGACUUGGUGCACGGGAGGAAAUGCAGAUGAAGAGAGGAGAGAAACAGAGAAGAAGAUGGAGAUGGAAGAGAAACAUAGAACAGAAAUAGCAGUAGUGCUAAAGGAGGAAGCCACGCUGAAGAUGACGAAAGGAACAUGUCUGAACAUGCAGGAUCUUCGGGAGAAUCCAUCCUCAACAUACAGGAUUCUGAAGACUAUCCACCUUUAAGAUCACCAUCAUUUUCUAUAGUUUCAGAGUUAUCUGCCAAUAAUAGUGUUUCAGUCACAUCAUGUAUGUCACAUAGCCACAGUAUAUCACCUGUAGGAAAAAGAAGAAAAAAUCUCCAUCAUCCAGAAACAACCAUAGAUAAAUUUGUGAUAAGAACAGCAGAUUACAAAAAGAGGUAAUUGAUGGGGAAAAUUGCCCAAUUUGUUUAUGCAACAAACUCUCCUUUCCGUAUGAUUGAGAACCCACACUUCAUGAACAUGGUUCAGUCAUUAAGACCAGGAUACAGUCCAUCCAACAGAGCAGAUGUCACAGGCAAAUUGCUGGAUAAAGUGUAUGAAAGAGAAAUUGAGCAGUGUGCAAAAGGUCUAGAGGGUAAAAUUGUUAACCUGAGUCUUGAUGGGUGGAAAAAUGUCCACAAUGAUCCUGUGGUAUGUGCUUGGCUGACAACAGAAGAAGGGAAUGUCUUGCUUACAGAAACAAUUGAUACAUCGGGAAAUGCACACACAGCAGAAUACUUACAAGAAGUAGCAGUAAAAGCUAUAAGAAAUGGGGGGAGGGCUCGAGAGGUAUACUACUGACCUACUGUCCAGAGGCUGAUAUGAAUGUUUGCUGUUGAAGAAAAAAAUCCAGAAUACAUAACAUUGUUGUUUUAGUUAAAUAAAACAAUUUAAAUGUCUGUGUGGUGAUGUUCUCCUCCUAAGCAUAGCAGGAAAAUCCUCCAAAUAUUAAUGAUUAACCUGUUGAAUUGGGAGGUGAACUAACUUCAUAAAUAUCUGCUUCAAUUACCUUUGGUAAAUGAAAUAACCAAUCAUUCAUUUUCUGAUAUAGCUGUAAAACUAAUCUGAAAAGUUUUCAAAAUAAAGUACUUUAAAAAUGUAUAA